AGUGAACGCUGGCGGUAGGCCUAACACAUGCAAGUCGAACGGCAGCACAGUAAGAGCUUGCUCUUACGGGUGGCGAGUGGCGGACGGGUGAGGAAUACAUCGGAAUCUACUUUUUCGUGGGGGAUAACGGAGGGAAACUUACGCUAAUACCGCAUACGACCUACGGGUGAAAGCAGGGGAUCUUCGGACCUUUCGCGAUUGAAUGAGCCGAUGUCGGAUUAGCUAGUUGGCGGGGUAAAGGCCCACCAAGGCGACGAUACGUAGCUGGUCUGAGAGGAUGAUCAGCCACACUGGAACUGAGACACGGUCCAGACUCCUACGGGAGGCAGCAGUGGGGAAUAUUGGACAAUGGGCGCAAGCCUGAUCCAGCCAUACCGCGUGGGUGAAGAAGGCCUUCGGGUUGUAAAGCCCUUUUGUUGGGAAAGAAAAGCAGCAGGUGAAUACCCCGCUGUUCUGACGGUACCCAAAGAAUAAGCACCGGCUAACUUCGUG
rnacentral:rRNA from 1 species